UACAGAGGGUGCAAGCGUUAAUCGGAAUUACUGGGCGUAAAGGGUGCGUAGGUGGUUAAAUAAGUUGGGUGUGAAAGUCCCGGGCUUAACCUGGGGAUUGUGCCUAAUACUGUUUAGCUAGAGUACUGUAGAGGAAGGUGGAAUUUCCAGUGUAGCAGUGAAAUGCGUAGAUAUUGGAAGGAACAUCGGUGGCGAAGGCGACCUUCUGGACAGCUACUGACACUGAGGCACGAAAGCGUGGGGAGCAAACAGG
rnacentral:rRNA from 1 species